UGUACUACCGAUAACCGUUUGAGAGAAGGGAUGACACAGUAGGAUAAGCUAAGCACACUGUUGGUUAUGUGUGCCCAAGCAUUGAGGCAGUCAAAGUAGGCAAAUCCGCUUUGAUAAUGCUGGGAUGUGAUGGGGAGCGAAAUUUAGUAGCGAAGUAGCUGAUUUCACACUGUCAAGAAAAGUCUCUAUCGAGGUUAAAGGUACCCGUACCGCAAACCGACACAGGUGGGUGAGGAGAGUAUCCUAAGGCCAGCGAGAGAACUGUUGUUAAGGAACUCGGCAAAAUGACCCCGUAACUUAGGGAUAAGGGGUGCCACCAUCAGGUGGCCGCAGAGAAUAGGCCCAAGCGACUGUUUACCAAAAACAUAGGUUUCUGCUAAGUCGCAAGACGAUGUAUAGGAGCUGACGCCUGCCCGGUGCUGGAAGGUUAAGGGGAUCUGUUAGAGCAAUCGAAGCAGUGAACUUAAGCCCCAGUAAACGGCGGCCGUAACUAUAACGGUCCUAAGGUAGCGAAAUUCCUUGUCGGGUAAGUUCCGACCCGCACGAAAGGCGUAACGAUUUGGGCACUGUCUCAACAACAGACUCGGUGAAAUUGUAAUUCCGGUGAAGAUGCCGGAUACCUGCGACAGGACGGAAAGACCCCAUGGAGCUUUACUGUAGCUUGACAUUGGGUCUUGGUACUACAUGUACAGGAUAGGUGGGAGGCUUUGAAACCAGGACGCCAGUUUUGGCGGAGCCAUCCUUGGGAUACCACCCUUGUAGUACUGGGACUCUAACCAUAGGCCAUGAAUCUGGUCUUGGGACACUGUCAGGUGGGCAGUUUGACUGGGGCGGUCGCCUCCCAAAAGGUAACGGAGGCGCUCAAAGGUUCUCUCAGUACGGUCGGAAAUCGUACGUAGAGUGUAAAGGCAAAAGAGAGCUUGAUUGCAAGACAUACAGGUCGAGCAAGGAUGAAAAUCGGACUUAGUGAUCCGGUGGUUCUGCGUGGAAGGGCCAUCGCUCAACGGAUAAAAGCUACCCUGGGGAUAACAGGCUUAUCUCCCCCAAGAGUCCACAUCGACGGGGAGGUUUGGCACCUCGAUGUCGGCUCAUCACAUCCUGGGGCUGUAGUAGGUCCCAAGGGUUGGGCUGUUCGCCCAUUAAAGUGGUACGCGAGCUGGGUUCAGAACGUCGUGAGACAGUUCGGUCCCUAUCCGUCGCAGGCGUAGGAAAUUUGAGAAGACCUGUCCUUAGUACGAGAGGACCGGGAUGGACG
rnacentral:rRNA from 1 species